UCCCAAUCAACCCAUCUCACAGUAUACUUAAGAUACACAGUUCUUGUUUUGUUUCCACUUUCGAAUCCGUUUCUUAACCGACAUUGAGUCUUAUCGUAGCAGCAGUCUUGACCUCCUUUGUAUCCAGGUUCUAAAGCUCGACCGUACUCAUCAACCGUUACAUUAUAAAGACCACACCGACACUCGGUGCAUCCUUGUUUAUCCACAACCCCUCUAGUGUCAAUAGCGUGAAUAUUUAGAAGCCAUUUGAACUCAUACCCAUCAGGUACUUUCUCCGGGUUACCGAUCUCGAUCGCGUAAGGAUCAGGAACAUACGUCGAAGUCUUGCGUGUUUCUGAUCCUAACCCAAAGUAUUGUCUAACUCUGUUCCUACACAACCCUCCGUUACUAACGAGAAUAUAAUCAGGGCUCGAACCAAGGUUCCUAGGCGUGUCUAGGUGCGAAAGGUUGAGACCUUUACGCACGUAGUAAGGGUGCACAACCCAGUGGUGGAGAUAUGUCUCGUGUAACGGGACGGGGUUACCGUCUUGGUCGACUACUUCGGCGUCGAAACCUUUGAGGCCGAUGUGGCCUCUAGGGAAAUCGAUGUCGAACAGGUAAGGGUCUGCGACUGAUCCUGGAGUCAUGACUUGUUUUGGUGAUAGGAAACUUGCGGACUUGAUGUUAAUGCUGUGGCUAGGCGAUAUGCUUAACGCGACCAGAAGAAGAAGUAAGGACGAGAUGAUCAGGUAACAACGAGCCAUUUUGUCCUGUUUCGAUAUCGUUAUAGAGAGGUAAUAAAUGAAGUAAAACUGAUAAAAUACGUAAUCAUGAACCGGUUUGACCUAAACCGAGAUCUGUUACCGGCAGUUUACCUGCAAGAAGCUCUCCGGUCCAGGCAGCUGCUGAGAAACGAGGAUGUAAAAGAGUCCCAUGACUCCUGUAUGACCAAUGACAUUACUGUAAUUGAACUCCAAAGACAGUGUCUCUCCAUUAGUCACUUUCACCGGUUCAGGAUAACAAGACGACAUUCCAACGAUGUAACCAGCUUCGCUUCCAGGCUCAUCUCCAUUGCCAUACUUCGGCAUCGAGGAGCAUAUUACCUCACCGUCCUGAUCAAAAUCCAUAACACAAGAGUCUCAGUUUUUGAGUAAAAAGUUUUUGCCUUAGCUUAAAACCUUAGGUUGGGUGUUUAUACCCAAACCCGAAAUCCGAACUGAGACCAAACCAAAAUUCUAUCUAAACCAUCAUAAAAAAUAUCCAAAUAGAGUCUAAGAAUACUUUCGGACUCGGGUACAAUCCAAACCAAACUAAAAUCCGUACUAGAAUCCAAAAAAUCCACAUUAGUUAAUCUGUUAAUGUUUUUUUCUACAUAUGUUACGUUAAGAUAGUUUAGAAAUUUUUAAAAAAAUUAGAAUUUUUUGUAGUUUUUAUAGGAAUUGCGAAUCGUUAUUUUGGAAUACUUUUAAUUAGUUUAGGUAGCUUGACAAGUUUUUAAUCAGAUUUUUGAUUUUUUUGUAUAUUUUAAAUAUGUUUUUGUCAAUUUCAUUAAUUUUAUUUCCAGAUUUAAGUACGAUUUUUAGACAAUGGUUAUAAUUUGAUUUGAAUCAAACACAUACGAAAUCGAAUCAAACCCGAUCCAAAAACUAGUAAAAUAUGAAUAAGACCAUUGUGCAUGAUACCGAAAAUCCAAAACAAACCCCUAACAAGACACCAAACGUCCGGGCCUGUUAAAAACUAACCUCUCGGUACAGAGCUGCACCGAUACCACCUGCGUGCUGGUGAGCUACUCCAUAGACAAUAUACCCGUUAAACGGCAUCAUUAAGCUCUUUUUCUUAACAUCAACACACCCAUCACCCUUAGUUUUGCACGGUUUCACGUCAUAUUCCACCUGAAAAGAAAGCAAUUAAUACACCUUAGCUAACGUUUUUAAGUAAUAAAAGCAUUAAUAAGCAGAGAUGUGAAAAGUCUUUACUGACAUGACAAAAAUGUUCUUGGUUAUCUCCUGUUGAUCCUUCUGACCGUUCCCAAGAAUCCGUUACAUCGAGAAUAUAAACCUUAGCCGGCAACAAAACCGAGCUGUCCCAAUCAACCCAUCUCACAGUAUACUUAAGAUACACAGUUCUUGUUUUGUUUCCACUUUCGAAUCCGUUUCUUAACCGACAUUGAGUACUAUUAUAAGCUUUAGUUUGUUAACACUAUUAUACAAGAUUUGUAACAAACUUUAAGAUCAUUAAUGAAUAAAUCAACAUUCUUCUUUGAAUCAAGAACACUUCAAUAACUCCACUCUAAAUCAUCAUAAUCCAAUCAGAUCAGAACCAUAUACUAACCACAAACGCGUUUCAGAGAGUUUAGCGAUAUACAAUACCUUCGUAAUCACCAUUCUUCGAAACGAUCCAGCGACCAUCAAACGCCUCAUCGAACGAUUCAUACAACACCUGAACACAAAUCCAACGAGCUCAGAUCUAAAAAAUCUUCAGAUCUACGAUAACAUUCGGAAACAUUUUCCCGAGAAAAAUCGAAAUCUACCGUAUUAUCGUCGCAGUGGCAAAGGUUCUGGAGCGAGAGGAGAGCUAGGAUAAGCAUAAGGCCGGAGAAUAGCUGCCGGUCUCUCAUCAUCGGAACGGUUCGAGUAGAUCGGAGGGAGAAGAGAGAGAGAGAGAGAGAGAGUGGAAUCUAUUUUUUUUUUUUCCUGAAGAUUUUAGUUUCUCUGAGUGAUUUAUAUAUUUAAAUCCCGUAGACUCGGUCGAGUGUGUCGAUUUUUGUUGUUUCCACCAAUGAGAUCGCUCGCCACGUGGUGAGAGCCAAUAGAUGGACGCCACGUCAUGCGAAAGAGAGGUAUCCUACGUGCGCAAUUUGUAUUGCUACGUAAUGUGCAUGUUUAUUAUACAGAUAGUCUAACGUCAGUAUUGGGCUGGGCCUGUAAUCAAUUUAAAAGUCUCUGGUAGAGUAAGAGUCUUCUAGAAGCAAAAGUAACACAUUUAUCAGGAACAAAGAACCAAAUCAAACUAAACUAAAAAAAAUGAGGUUUGGUUCGGAUUUAGAUCAUAUAAUACACGAAUGAACGGAUCCUAUAACUUUUGAACUGAAAAACCAAAACCAAACUGGAGCAAACAAAGACCCGAAUGGAUACCCGAAUUUUUAUAAUAUAAUAUAUACACUUAUAAAUAUUAACUACAUUUAGUUUCAAAAUGAUAAAAUAAUUUGAAAUACUAUUUCUAAAAACUAAAUCUCCAAAUACAUUUUAUCCGAAAUAUUUUAAAUUAUUUGAACUAUCCAAAUUUUACCUAAAUUAUUGGAUAAAAAUCUAACAUUUAGUAAAAAAAAGACUGAAUUUACUUACUUUUUUUUGAAACACAUCUGAAUUUUCUUACUUUUAACAAAACUUAACAAAAAAACUAAAAUCGAACGGCUAACGAAUAUGAUCCAAAAAUGACCUCGGAUAUUAUUCGGUUUUUAAUUUUGUUAUCUAAACUAAACUGAAAAAUGAAAUAACCGAAUCAGAACCAAAGUGAAUCCUAAACAUCUAAAACUGAAAAGCAGAAAAAAUCGAAAGAACCGAACCGGAACCGAAUCCAAAAUUCUUUAGCGGAGCAAGAGUCUCUAUUGGGCUGGGCCUACUAAUCAAUUUGAAAGUCUCUAGCUGAGCAAGAGUCUUCCACAUACCAUUGACAAAAGCAAACUUUUUACACACGUAAGUCGUAAUAACCAUUACAGAAAUGUCACACACUAGUGGAAGAGUACAAGAUACUUUGUUAUUUUAAUAUUUGGUAUUAGAAAAAGUGGAAAACUAUAAAAUGUUGAAGAUGAAUAUCUAUAGUUUUACUGUUUAGGUACUAAGUGAUUGGUAACCAUCUUCCCGGUUCUUUCUCCGGUAUACCACGGCGACUAUUAGAACCACAACCGCCACCGUCACUGCAAGAAAGGCUAAAAAGCUCAUACUGCUCGAAUGUGCCUGCAAAGAAAUAAUGAAUACUGACGUUAAGUAAAGUAACACACAUGGUAAUAACCGGUUUGACCUAAACCGAGAUCUGUUACCGGCAGUUUACCUGCAAGAAGCUCUCCGGUCCAGGCAGCUGCUGAGAAACGAGGAUGUAAAAGAGUCCCAUGACUCCUGUAUGACCAAUGACAUUACUGUAAUUGAACUCCAAAGACAGUGUCUCUCCAUUAGUCACUUUCACCGGUUCAGGAUAACAAGACGACAUUCCAACGAUGUAACCAGCUUCGCUUCCAGGCUCAUCUCCAUUGCCAUACUUCGGCAUCGAGGAGCAUAUUACCUCACCGUCCUGAUCAAAAUCCAUAACACAAGAGUCUCAGUUUUUGAGUAAAAAGUUUUUGCCUUAGCUUAAAACCUUAGGUUGGGUGUUUAUACCCAAACCCGAAAUCCGAACUGAGACCAAACCAAAAUUCUAUCUAAACCAUCAUAAAAAAUAUCCAAAUAGAGUCUAAGAAUACUUUCGGACUCGGGUACAAUCCAAACCAAACUAAAAUCCGUACUAGAAUCCAAAAAAUCCACAUUAGUUAAUCUGUUAAUGUUUUUUUCUACAUAUGUUACGUUAAGAUAGUUUAGAAAUUUUUAAAAAAAUUAGAAUUUUUUGUAGUUUUUAUAGGAAUUGCGAAUCGUUAUUUUGGAAUACUUUUAAUCAGUUUAGGUAGCUUGACAAGUUUUUAAUCAGAUUUUUGAUUUUUUUUUUUGUAUAUUUUAAAUAUGUUUUUGUCAAUUUCAUUAAUUUUAUUUCCAGAUUUAAGUACGAUUUUUAGACAAUGGUUAUAAUUUGAUUUGAAUCAAACACAUACGAAAUCGAAUCAAACCCGAUCCAAAAACUAGUAAAAUAUGAAUAAGACCAUUGUGCAUGAUACCGAAAAUCCAAAACAAACCCCUAACAAGACACCAAACGUCCGGGCCUGUUAAAAACUAACCUCUCGGUACAGAGCUGCACCGAUACCACCUGCGUGCUGGUGAGCUACUCCAUAGACAAUAUACCCGUUAAACGGCAUCAUUAAGCUCUUUUUCUUAACAUCGACACACCCAUCACCCUUAGUUUUGCACGGUUUCACGUCAUAUUCCACCUGAAAAGAAAACAAUUAAUACACCUUAGCUAACGUUAAAAGCAUUAAUAAGCAGAGAUGUGAAAAGUCUUUACUGACAUGACAAAAAUGUUCUUGGUUAUCUCCUGUUGAUCCUUCUGACCGUUCCCAAGAAUCCGUUACAUCGAGAAUAUAAACCUUAGCCGGCAACAAAACCGAGCUGUCCCAAUCAACCCAUCUCACAGUAUACUUAAGAUACACAGUUCUUGUUUUGUUUCCACUGUCGAAUCCGUUUCUUAACCGACAUUGAGUCUUAUCGUAGCAGCAGUCUUGACCUCCUUUGUAUCCAGGUUCUAAAGCUCGACCGUACUCAUCAACCGUUACAUUAUAAAGACCACACCGACACUCGGUGCAUCCUUGUUUAUCCACAACCCCUCUAGUGUCAAUAGCGUGAAUAUUUAGAAGCCAUUUGAACUCAUACCCAUCAGGUACUUUCUCCGGGUUACCGAUCUCGAUCGCGUAAGGAUCAGGAACAUACGUCGAAGUCUUGCGUGUUUCUGAUCCUAACCCAAAGUAUUGUCUAACUCUGUUCCUACACAACCCUCCGUUACUAACGAGAAUAUAAUCAGGGCUCGAACCAAG
rnacentral:lncRNA from 1 species